GAUGAACGCUGGCGGCGUGCCUAAUACAUGCAAGUCGAGCGAACAGACGAGGAGCUUGCUCCUCUGACGUUAGCGGCGGACGGGUGAGUAACACGUGGAUAACCUACCUAUAAGACUGGGAUAACUUCGGGAAACCGGAGCUAAUACCGGAUAAUAUAUUGAACCGCAUGAUUCAAUAGUGAAAGACGGUUUUGCUGUCACUUAUAGAUGGAUCCGCGCCGCAUUAGCUAGUUGGUAAGGUAACGGCUUACCAAGGCAACGAUGCGUAGCCGACCUGAAAGGGUGAUCGGCCACACUGGAACUGAGACACGGUCCAGACUCCUACGGGAGGCAGCAGUAGGGAAUCUUCCGCAAUGGGCGAAAGCCUGACGGAGCAACGCCGCGUGAGUGAUGAAGGUCUUCGGAUCGUAAAACUCUGUUAUUAGGGAAGAACAAAUGUGUAAGUAACUAUGCACGUCUUGACGGUACCUAAUCAGAAAGCCACGGCUAACUACGUG
rnacentral:rRNA from 1 species